GAUGAAGAACGUAGCGAAAUGCGAUAAGUAGUGUGAAUUGCAGAAUUCAGUGAAUCAUCGAAUCUUUGAACGCACAUUGCGCCCGCUAGUAUUCUGGCGGGCAUGCCUGUCCGAGCGUCAUUUCAACCAUCAAGCCCCCGGGCUUGGUGUUGGGGAUCGGCGAGCCUCCGCGCCCGCCGUCCCCUAAAUCUAGUGGCGGUCUCGCUGUAGCUUCCUCUGCGUAGUAGCACACCUCGCACUGGGAAACAGCGCGGCCACGCCGUUAAACCCCCAACUUCUGAACGUUUGACCUCGGAUCAGGUAGGAAUACCCGCUGAACUUAAGCAUAUCAAUAAGCGGAGGA
rnacentral:misc_RNA from 1 species